rnacentral:rRNA from 1 species
UACGGGGGGGGCAAGCGUUGUUCGGAAUUACUGGGCGUAAAGGGCUCGUAGGUGGCCAACUAAGUCAGACGUGAAAUCCCUCGGCUUAACCUGGGAACUGCGUCCGAUACUGGAUGGCUUGAAUUCGGGAGAGGGAUGCAGAAUUCCAGGUGUAGCGGUGAAAUGCGUAGAUAUCUGGAGGAAUACCGGUGGCGAAGGCGGCAUCCUGGACCGACAUUGACGCUGAUGAGCGAAAGCUAGGGGAGCAAACGGG